rnacentral:misc_RNA from 1 species
GCGCCCGUCGUUGGGGAGUAGCCAAUUUUCUGCCUGGCAGAAAAUGUCCGUGUCAACAUACUCGUUGCAAAACGUGGCACGUGCGGGUUGAAGCAGAACGUAUUCAAUCAGGCGAGACCAUAGACGCAUCA